GAAGUUCGAUCCGGGCUAGGAUGAUGAACGCUGGGGCGGCAUGCUGAACACAUGCAAGUCGAACGGGAAGUGGUGUUUCCAGUGGCGAACGGGUUGAGUACGCGUAAGAACCUGCCUUGAGUGAGGGGAACAACAACUGGGAAACGGUUUUUUGCUAAUUUAACCCGUUGGUGAGGAGCAAAAGAGGAAGAAGAGAAAAGAAUCCGACCAGGAGGGGCUCGCGUCUGAUUAGCUAGUUGGUGAGGGGCAAUAGUUACCCAAGGCGACGUUGAUCAGUAGCUGGUCCAGAGAGGAUGAUCAGCCACACUGGGGACUGAGACACGGCCCAGACUCAUACGGGAGGCAGCAGUGGGAAUUUUUCCGCAAUGGGCGAAGCCUGACGGAGCCCAAUGCCGCGGGGAGGGGAAGGCCUACGGUGGUCGUCAACUUCUUUUCUCGGAGAAGGAAACAAUGACGGUAUCUGAGGAAAUAAAAGCAUCGGCUCGAAACUCUGUGCCGCUAGCCGCGGUAUUAAGACAGAGGAUGCAAGCGUUAUCCGGAAUUGAUUGGGGUAAAGCGUCUGUAGGUUGGCUUUUCAAGUCCGCCGUAAAAUCCCAGGCUCAACCAUGGACAGGCGGUGGACCAAUACCAAGCUGGAGUACGGUAGGGGAGAGGGAAUUUCCGGUGGUGGAGCGGUUGAAUGUGAAUGAAUUGAGAUCGGAAAGAACCCAACGGCGACGAAGAACGCGAACGAAAGCACUCUGCUGGGGCCCGACACUGACACUGACGACGGACGAAAGAUAGGGGGAGCAAAUGGGAUUAGAUUAGAGACCCCCGUAGUCUAGCGUAGGUAAACGUGGAUACUAGGUGCUGUGGCGACUCUCGACCCGGUGAAGUGCUGUAUCUAACGGUUAAGUAUCCCGCCUGGGGAGACGUCGCAAGAAUGAAACUACAAAGGAAUUGGCGGGGGCCCCGCACAAGCGUGGAGCAUGUGGUUUAAUUCGAUGCAAAGCGAAGAACCUUACCAGGCUGACAUUUUGCCGCGAAUCUCGUGAAAAAGAGAGGGGUGGCCCUCGGGAACGCGGACACCAGGUGUGUGAAUGGCUGUCGUCAGCUCGUGCCGUAAGGUGUUGGUUUUAAGUCUCGCAACGAGCGCAAACCUCGGUUUUUAGUUGCCACUAGAGUUUGGAACCACUGAACAGGAACCGCCGGUGUUAAGCGGAGGAAGGAGGGAUGAGGACCAAGUAUCAUGCCUUAUUGCCCUGGGCGACAAACUGUGCUGACAAUGGGCGGGACAAAGGGUUUCGCGAUCUUCGCGAGGGUGAGUAACUCAAAACCCGUACUCAGUUCGGGAUUGCAGGCUGCAACUGGCCUGCAUGAAGCCGGAAUCGCAGUAAUCGCCGGUCAGCCAUUUACGGCGGUGAAAUCCGUUCACGGGCCUUGUACACACCGCCCCCGUCACACUAUAGAGCGGCCAGGUUUGAAGUCAUACCUUACCGUAAGGAGGGGAUGCCUAAGGUAGGCUUGCGACUGGAGUGAAAAAAGUGAGUCGUAACCGUAACAAGGUAGGCCG
rnacentral:rRNA from 1 species